rnacentral:rRNA from 1 species
GACAGAGGUGCCAAGCGUUAGGCGGAAUCACUGGGCUUAAAGCGUGUGUAGGCGGAUGCCUAAGUACCUUGUGAAAUCCCCCGGCUUAACCGGGGAACUGCUUGGUAUACUGGGUGUCUUGAGCCACUUAGGGGCGACCGGAACAAACGGUGGAGCGGUGAAAUGCGUAGAUAUCGUUUGGAACGCCAAUGGUGAAAACAGGUCGCUGGGAGUGUGCUGACGCUGAGACACGAAAGCCAGGGGAGCGAACGGG